UACGUAGGGGGCAAGCGUUUGUCCGGAUUUAUUGGGCGUAAAGAGCGUGUAGGCGGCUUGGUAGGUCCGCUGUGAAAACUCGAGGCUCAACCUCGAGAUGUCGGCGGAAACCACUUGGCUAGAGUCCGGAAGAGGAGAGUGGAAUUCCCGGUGUAGCGGUGAAAUGCGCAGAUAUCAGGAAGAACACCGAUGGCGAAGGCAGCUCUCUGGGACGGUACUGACGCUGAGACGCGAAAGCUGGGGGAGCGAAACAGG
rnacentral:rRNA from 1 species